rnacentral:rRNA from 1 species
GAUUCUCUCAGUAACGGCGAGUGAACAGAGAAUAGCCCAGCACCGAAGCCUGCGGUCAUUUGACUGCUAGGCAAUGUGGUGUUUAGAUUGGUUUUUGGCAUUUCUGCUUCAUCUCAAGUCCAUCAAUGAGUACGGCUAAUUGACCGGCCCAAAGAGGGUGAAAGGCCCGUGUGGAUGAAGAUCAAGUGGGACAGAAGUGCUUUGAACUGAUCUUGGAGUCGGGUUGUUUGUGAAUGCAGCCCAAAGUGGGUGGUAGACUCCAUCCAAGGCUAAAUACUGGCACGAAUCCGAUAGCAAACAAGUACCGUGAGGGAAAGUUGAAAAGUACUUUGAAGAGAGAGUGAACAGUGCGUGAACCCGCUCAGAGGUAAACGGGUGGAGUUGAACUGGAAUCUCUGGGGAUUUAACUGAUGAGUAUGGCAUGCGCUUGAGCAUGUUGGCUAGCAUUGAAGGUUUGCUUAAUUGUAGGCCUUGGCUUUUCGGAGUCUGGGUACACGUUGCACUUAUCAAGUGUUGUGUGCUUUGAAUGCAUUAAGCUUGCUCGUCAGUGCAUUUUCCCAGGGUGAUCACCACGACCGGCGUAGUUGUCUGUUUGCUGCGGUUAAAUCGGUCAAAUUUGGUCAUAUUGGCUAAGUUUGAUCGAGAUGGCAGGUAGCUUGUUUGUUCAUUUGAGCUUACAGGUGUUAUCAGCUGUCCGCAGUAAAUUUGUGCAAUAUGUCGGAGAUGACGGCCUUACGCGCGCUGUACAAUAAAUUACGUUGGGUUUGAUUGGCACGUACUUGUUUUGCAGGUCUGUCAGUAGCCCAGCGGGGUUUGUUGUUUGCAGUAGUUUGUAAUAUACUUGGGCCUAUAGUCUGUGGUGUAGUGGUAAACUAUCUACCCGACCCGUCUUGAAACACGGACCAAGGAGUUUAACAUGUGCGCGAGUCAUUGGGUGCUACGAAACCCAAAGGCGCAGUGAAGGUAAAGGUUCGACUUGUUCGGACUAAAGUGAGAUCUUGUUGUAAUCACUUGGUAUUAUCAAGCUUUGAUGCAAUAAGCGCAUCACUGGCCCGUCUCAUGGUGUAGUCAUGAAGCUUUGCUUUGUGCGUCAUCGGGGCGGAGCUAGAGCGUACAUGUUGAGACCCGAAAGAUGGUGAACUAUGCUUGCGCAGGUUGAAGCCAGAGGAAACUCUGGUGGAGGACCACAGCGAUUCUGACGUGCAAAUCGAUCGUCAAACGUGAGUAUAGGGGCGAAAGACUAAUCG